GAUAACCUCGGGAAAUCGUGGCUAAUACCGGAUAUGAACUGUCACCGCAUGGUGGUGGUUGGAAAGAUUUAUCGGUGGGGGAUGGACUCGCGGCCUAUCAGUUUGUUGGUGAGGUAAUGGCUCACCAAGGCGAUGACGGGUAGCCGGCCUGAGAGGGCGACCGGCCACACUGGGACUGAGACACGGCCCAGACUCCUACGGGAGGCAGCAGUGGGGAAUAUUGCACAAUGGGCGAAAGCCUGAUGCAGCGACGCCGCGUGGGGGAUGACGGCCUUCGGGUUGUAAACCCCUUUCAGUAGGGAAGAAGCGAGAGUGACGGUACCUGCAGAAGAAGCGCCGGCUAACUACGUGCCAGCAGCCGCGGUAAUACGUAGGGCGCAAGCGUUGUCCGGAAUUAUUGGGCGUAAAGAGCUUGUAGGUG
rnacentral:rRNA from 1 species